UUUAACUUAUUAAAAUAACUCAGACUGUAGGUUUAGAGUUGUGGGGGCUUCGGCGGUGAGGCCGAAGCAACGUAAGGUAUAGUCAAGGGUUGGAGUUUGGCAAGCCAAUCUCUUUAAUGAUCCUUCCGCAGGUUCACCUACGGAAA
rnacentral:misc_RNA from 1 species